CCGCAUGUCGCUUGCGUUGGUGUCUGUGCAAGCAGAUGAAAAGGGAAUGCGUCAGCGGUUUUCCGUCAAACGCAGCCGCCCCCGCGACCGUGACCGGAGAGGGUGCCCAAAUGCCACUGGCCGCAGGCCGGGAAGGCGGGACAUCCGACAGAGCGCCGCUCUGACAUCCGCAAGCCGGGAGACCUGCCAACGCCCGAAGACAAACC
rnacentral:ncRNA from 19 species